AGCAGUAGCCGCGGUAAUACGUAGGGUGCGAGCGUUAAUCGGAAUUACUGGGCGUAAAGCGUGCGCAGGCGGUUGUGUAAGACAGGUGUGAAAUCCCCGGGCUUAACCUGGGAACUGCGCUUGUGACUGCACAGCUAGAGUACGGCAGAGGGGGGUGGAAUUCCACGUGUAGCAGUGAAAUGCGUAGAGAUGUGGAGGAACACCGAUGGCGAAGGCAGCCCCCUGGGCCAAUACUGACGCUCAUGCACGAAAGCGUGGGGAGCAAACAGGAUUAGAGACCCCUGUAGUCCCUGUCUCUUAUAC
rnacentral:rRNA from 1 species